rnacentral:rRNA from 1 species
UACAGAGGAGCCAAGCGUUGUCCGGAUUGACUGGGCGUAAAGCGCGUGUAGGCGGCUCGCUAAGUCUGAUGUGAAAGCCCUGGGCUCAACCCAGGAACUGCAUCGGAAACUGGCGGGCUUGAGUCCGGGAGAGGGUCGCGGAAUUCCUGGUGUAGAGGUGAAAUUCGUAGAUAUCAGGAGGAACACCGGUGGCGAAGGCGGCGACCUGGACCGGUACUGACGCUGAGACGCGAAAGCGUGGGGAGCAAACAGG